CAGACGGUAAAGCAUCUGUCUACAAUGCAGGAGACCUGGAUUCGAUAUUGUGACAUGUCAUUUUAUUUAUAAUUAUGUGCAUACUGAGAUUAAUAUAUGAGAAAAUCAUAACCUUAAUUCCAGGAUCUGUGUUGGCAACAGAGAACCCAGGGUGCUACUCUUCUCAGGGCUGUCUCCAUCCAAUGACUCCACAAGGCAGGGUGUAAGUGGACAAUCAUCUUGGCCCAAGGUGAGACAUUCAGAUGGGCUUAGAUCCCUCAGGAAUAAGGGUUUGUGUAAUGCUACCAGUUAUGCUGUAGAGAAGCGUUGAUGUAGUACUUAAAGUGAGGAGAUCCUGGAAAGUAGAGAGGAGGAUGGAGACUGUGAGUACCAGCUGUUGGUACCUACUUUAGCUAUGGCAGCUACAGUUUGUACUACUAAUGUCUCUUUUCUAAGUUUCUCUCAGGAAACAGGUCCAUCAAAAUCCCCGAGAAUCUGCUGCCAGAACAAGUGGAGAAGGAGAUCCAGAGGGACUAUGAUAGACUCAGAAAUGAGCUGCCCAUAUCCUUCUUCCAGGAAUGAAUUUCCGCCUUGCUGUAGGAAGCAAUCAAGAGUAUAAAGCCUCAAAUCACUGGCUUCUUCAGAGUUUGCCUCAACUGCAGACAGCCAGGGCCUCACUCUUCCUGGAAAAACUGGCAGACAAUGACUGAGCAAGUUGGGAGGAUAUUUCUGCAUAAUUCAGAAUUCCUCUGAUGGUCAAUAUUUGCUCUGGAGCUCCACAAAGUUGGCAGAGAUCAUCCCAGACUUGUAUCAUGAUCUGAAAUCUCCCCUUCCCCAAUCUUGCUUUCUCCCCCUUCCCUUUCUUUCAUAGAUGUUUUGAUAUCUAGGGACUUGCUUCUAGGGAACACAACCAGUGGCAUUCACCCUUUCUCCCACUUACAUGUAACAGGGCCUCUAACUUUGCCUCCUCACCUCUUAUGUUAGUAGCACAAGAAAUGGGAGUGGUGGCCAGCAGCAUAGAGAUCUGAUGGUCAGAGUAUGAGGUAGUGGGAAAGGGCAGAAAUAAAAUUAUUUCAGUGCUUUUUCACUUUUCUUCUCAGCCCUGAGAUACAGGUCCCAUCAUUAAUGGCAUUAGACACAUCCACAGCUCGACGUACAGUCAGUUUGAUGUACAGUAUACCUUGCUGCUUAUGGUAAUAGACAAAUCUUCAAGAAAUAAAAUGUUCUGAGGGUACUGAUUAUUAAAGGUAUUUAAAAAUAAC
ensembl:lncRNA